CGUUAUCCGGAAUUAUUGGGCGUAAAGAGCUCGUAGGCGGUUUGUCGCGUCUGCUGUGAAAUCCCGAGGCUCAACCUCGGGCCUGCAGUGGGUACGGGCAGACUAGAGUGCGGUAGGGGAGAUUGGAAUUCCUGGUGUAGCGGUGGAAUGCGCAGAUAUCAGGAGGAACACCGAUGGCGAAGGCAGAUCUCUGGGCCGUAACUGACGCUGAGGAGCGAAAGGGUGGGGAGCAAACAGGCUUAGAUACCCUGGUAGUCCACCCCGUAAACGUUGGGAACUAGUUGUGGGGUCCAUUCCACGGAUUCCGUGACGCAGCUAACGCAUUAAGUUCCCCGCCUGGGGAGUACGGCCGCAAGGCUAAAACUCAAAGGAAUUGACGGGGACCCGCACAAGCGGCGGAGCAUGCGGAUUAAUUCGAUGCAACGCGAAGAACCUUACCAAGGCUUGACAUAUACGAGAACGGGCCAGAAAUGGUCAACUCUUUGGACACUCGUAAACAGGUGGUGCAUGGUUGUCGUCAGCUCGUGUCGUGAGAUGUUGGGUUAAGUCCCGCAACGAGCGCAACCCUCGUUCUAUGUUGCCAGCACGUAAUGGUGGGAACUCAUGGGAUACUGCCGGGGUCAACUCGGAGGAAGGUGGGGAUGACGUCAAAUCAUCAUGCCCCUUAUGUCUUGGGCUUCACGCAUGCUACAAUGGCCGGUACAAAGGGCUGCAAUACCGUGAGGUGGAGCGAAUCCCAAAAAGCCGGUCCCAGUUCGGAUUGAGGUCUGCAACUCGACCUCAUGAAGUCGGAGUCGCUAGUAAUCGCAGAUCAGCAACGCUGCGGUGAAUACGUUCCCGGGUCUUGUACACACCGCCCGUCAAGUCAUGAAAGUCGGUAACACCUGAAGCCGGUGGCCUAACCCUUGUGGAGGGAGCCGUCGAAGGUGGGAUCGGUAAUUAGGACUAAGUCGUAACAAGGUAGCCGUACCGGAAGGUGCGGCUGGAUCACCUCCUUU
rnacentral:ncRNA from 1 species